rfam:Gossypium raimondii Chr06_contig_397, whole genome shotgun sequence.
GGGUGCGAUCAUACCAGCGCUAAUGCACCGGAUCCCAUCAGAACUCUUUAGUUAAGCGUGCUUGGGCGGGAGUAGUACUAGGAUGGGUGACCUCUUGGGAAGUAGUACUAGGAUGGGAGACC